rnacentral:rRNA from 1 species
AAAUAGAUCCUGAAACCGUAUGCUUACAAAAAGUAGGAGCCCGCAAGGGUGACUGCGUACCUUUUGUAUAAUGGGUCAGCGACUUGCAUUCAGUGGCAAGGUUAACCGAAUAGGGAAGCCGUAGAGAAAUCGAGUCCGAAUAGGGCGAAUUAGUCGCUGGGUGUAGACCCGAAACCAAGUGAUCUAUCCAUGGGCAGGAUGAAGGUGCCGUAACAGGUACUGGAGGUCCGAACCGACUAAUGUUGCAAAAUUAGCGGAUGACCUGUGGAUAGGGGUGAAAGGCUAAACAAACUUGGAAAUAGCUGGUUCUCUCCGAAAACUAUUUAGGUAGUGCCUCAAGUAUUACCUGCGGGGGUAGAGCACUGUUUUGGCUAGGGGGUCAUGGCGACUUACCAGAACCAAGGCAAACUCCGAAUACCGCAGAGUACAGCUUGGGAGACAGAGCACCGGGCGCUAACGUCUGGACUCAAGAGGGAAACAACCCAGACCGCCAGCUAAGGUCCCUAAAGUUGGCUAAGUGGGAAACGAAGUGGGAAGGCUAAAACAGUCAGGAUGUUGGCUUAGAAGCAGCCAUCAUUUAAAGAAAGCGUAAUAGCUCACUGAUCGAGUCGUCCUGCCCGGAAGAUGUAACGGGGCUAAGCCAGUUACCGAAGCUGCGGAUUUGCAAUUUAUUGCAAGUGGUAGGAGAGCGUUCUGUAAGCCUGUGAAGGUGCGUUGUAAAGCGUGCUGGAGGUAUCAGAAGUGCGAAUGCUGACAUGAGUAGCGUUAAAGGGGGCGAAAAGCCCCCUCGCCGUAAGUGCAAGGUUUUCUACGCAACGUUCAUCGGCGUAGAGUGAGUCGGCCCCUAAGGCGAGGCAGAGAUGCGUAGUUGAUGGGAAACAGGUCAAUAUUCCUGUACCGAUGUGUAGUGCGAUGUGAGGACGGAGAAGGUUAGCUCAGCAGACUGUUGGAUAUGUCUGUUCAAGCCCGUAGUCGUGCCUGGUAGGUAAAUCCGCCGGGCUUAGAUGAGGGGUGAUAACGAGGAAGCUUGCUUCCGAAGUGAGUGAUACCCUGCUUCCAGGAAAAGCCACUAAGCUUCAGCUACACACGACCGUACCGCAAACCGACACUGGUGCGCGAGAUGAGUAUUCUAAGGCGCUUGAGAGAACUCAGGAGAAGGAACUCGGCAAAUUGACACCGUAACUUCGGAAGAAGGUGUGCCUUUAGUAUGUGAACCUGUACAAGGGGAGCAGAAUGAGGCCUCAGAGAAUCGGUGGCUGCGACUGUUUAAUAAAAACACAGCACUCUGCAAACACGAAAGUGGACGUAUAGGGUGUGACGCCUGCCCGGUGCUGGAAGAUUAAAUGGUGGGGUGCAAGCUCUUGAUUGGAGUCCCAGUAAACGGCGGCCGUAACUAUAACGGUCCUAAGGUAGCGAAAUUCCUUGUCGGGUAAGUUCCGACCUGCACGAAUGGCGUAACGAUGGCCACACUGUCUCCUCCUGGGACUCAGCGAAGUUGAAAUGUUUGUGAUGAUGCAAUCUCCCCGCGGAAAGACGGAAAGACCCCAUGAACCUUUACUGUAGCUUUGUAUUGGACUUUGAACAGAUCUGUGUAGGAUAGGUGGGAGGCUUUGAAGCGUGGUUGCUAGACUGCGUGGAGCCAACGUUGAAAUACCACCCUGGUGUGUUUGAGGUUCUAACCUAGGUCCCUUAUCGGGAUCGGGGACAGUGCAUGGUAGGCAGUUUGACUGGGGCGGUCUCCUCCCAAAGCGUAACGGAGGAGUUCGAAGGUACGCUAGUUACGGUCGGACAUCGUGACGAUAGUGCAAUGGCAUAAGCGUGCUUAACUGCGAGACUGACAAGUCGAGCAGAUACGAAAGUAGGACAUAGUGAUCCGGUGGUUCUGUAUGGAAGGGCCAUCGCUCAACGGAUAAAAGGUACUCUGGGGAUAACAGGCUGAUACCGCCCAAGAGUUCAUAUCGACGGCGGUGUUUGGCAUCUCGAUGUCGGCUCAUCUCAUCCUGGGGCUGUAGCCGGUCCCAAGGGUAUGGCUGUUCGCCAUUUAAAGAGGUACGUGAGCUGGGUUUAAAACGUCGUGGGACAGUUUGGUCCCUAUCUUCCGUGGGCGCUG